ACGAACGCUGGCGGUUGUGCCUAAUACAUGCAAGUCGAGCGCGGGAAGCGAGCGGAUCCCCUUCGGGGGUGACGAUCGUGGAACGAGCGGCGGACGGGUGAGUAACACGUGGGCAACCUGCCUGUAAGACCGGAAUAACCCCGGGAAACCGGGGCUAAUGCCGGGUAAUACCUUUCUUCGCAUGAAGGAAGGUUGAAAGAUGGCUUCUCGCUAUCACUUACAGAUGGGCCCGCGGCGCAUUAGCUAGUUGGUGAGGUAACGGCUCACCAAGGCGACGAUGCGUAGCCGACCUGAGAGGGUGAUCGGCCACACUGGGACUGAGACACGGCCCAGACUCCUACGGGAGGCAGCAGUAGGGAAUCUUCCGCAAUGGACGAAAGUCUGACGGAGCAACGCCGCGUGAACGAUGAAGGUCUUCGGAUCGUAAAGUUCUGUUGUUAGGGAAGAACAAGUACCGUGCGAACAGAGCGGUACCUUGACGGUACCUAACGAGGAAGCCCCGGCUAACUACGUGCCAGCAGCCGCGGUAAUACGUAGGGGGCAAGCGUUGUCCGGAAUUAUUGGGCGUAAAGCGCGCGCAGGCGGUUCCUUAAGUCUGAUGUGAAAGCCCACGGCUCAACCGUGGAGGGUCAUUGGAAACUGGGGAACUUGAGGACAGAAGAGGAGAGUGGAAUUCCACAUGUAGCGGUGAAAUGCGUAGAUAUGUGGAGGAACACCAGUGGCGAAGGCGACUCUCUGGUCUGUUUCUGACGCUGAGGUGCGAAAGCGUGGGUAGCAAACAGGAUCAGAUACCCUGGUAGUCCACGCCGUAAACGAUGAGUGCUAGGUGUUAGGGGGCUUCCACCCCUUAGUGCUGAAGUUAACGCAUUAAGCACUCCGCCUGGGGAGCUAC
rnacentral:rRNA from 1 species